rnacentral:rRNA from 1 species
UAAGGAAUAUUGGUCAAUGGACGCAAGUCUGAACCAGCCAUGCCGCGUGGAGGAUGAAGGUCCUCUGGAUUGUAAACUUCUUUUAUCUGAGAAGAAACCCGGGAAUUCUUUUCCGGUUGACGGUACCAGAUGAAUAAGCACCGGCUAACUCCGUGCCAGCAGCCGCGGUAAUACGGAGGGUGCAAGCGUUAUCCGGAUUCACUGGGUUUAAAGGGUGCGUAGGUGGGCUAGUAAGUCCGUGGUGAAAUCUCCGAGCUUAACUCGGAAACUGCCGUGGAUACUAUUAGUCUUGAAUAUCGUGGAGGUAAGCGGAAUAUGUCAUGUAGCGGUGAAAUGCUUAGAUAUGACAUAGAACACCGAUAGCGAAGGCAGCUUGCUACACGAUCAUUGACACUGAGGCACGAAAGCGUGGGGAUCAAACAGG